rnacentral:rRNA from 1 species
AUGUGCAUGUCGUGUCACACCGUAUAUGCGUCGAUGCUUAGAUGCUUCCCCAGCUACCUAGUCCGUACUCCACUUAGGCACUUAGCAUCAACGGAGCAGCAACAAGAAGAAAAAUCCGAGAUGGUGUUCGCCCAGCAAGAACAAAUUCUGACGCAGGUAGGCCUACUCCUAUCUGUAAAGACCACACAUGAUCGAUCGAUUCCCUUGAGAACGACUGGAACCAGAGCAGAGUACCCCGUGACGCGCGUGCGCUCGUCGAUCCUCCAGCUUUGCAGAAUCGCAGCAGUAGCAGCAGCCGAUCGAGCGAGCGAGCAGGCGGCGGCCAUGGGGAUUCGCGCGAAGAAACUUUGA